CCUACGGGAGGCAGCAGUGGGGAAUUUUGGACAAUGGGCGAAAGCCUGAUCCAGCCAUACCGCGUGCGGGAAGAAGGCCUUCGGGUUGUAAACCGCUUUUGUCAGGGAAGAAAUACUUCGGGCUAAUACCCUGGGGUGAUGACGGUACCUGAAGAAUAAGCACCGGCUAACUACGUGCCAGCAGCCGCGGUAAUACGUAGGGUGCAAGCGUUAAUCGGAAUUACUGGGCGUAAAGCGUGCGCAGGCGGUUCUAUAAGACAGAUGUGAAAUCCCCGGGCUCAACCUGGGAACUGCAUUUGUGACUGUAGAGCUAGAGUACGGUAGAGGGGGAUGGAAUUCCGCGUGUAGCAGUGAAAUGCGUAGAUAUGCGGAGGAACACCGAUGGCGAAGGCAAUCCCCUGGACCUGUACUGACGCUCAUGCACGAAAGCGUGGGGAGCAAACAGGAUUAGAUACCCUGGUAGUCCACGCCCUAAACGAUGUCAACUGGUUGUUGGGAGGGUUUCUUCUCAGUAACGAAGCUAACGCGUGAAGUUGACCGCCUGGGGAGUACGGCCGCAAGGUUGAAACUCAAAUGAAUUGACGG
rnacentral:rRNA from 1 species